rnacentral:rRNA from 1 species
CGGAGGGUGCAAGCGUUAUCCGGAUUCACUGGGUUUAAAGGUGCGUAGGUGGGCUAGUAAGUCCGUGGUGAAAUCCCUGAGCUUAACUUGGGAACUGCCAUUGAUACUAUUAGUCUUGAAUAUCGUGGAGGUAAGCGGAAUAUGUCAUGUAGCGGUGAAAUGCUUAGAUAUGACAUAGAACACCAAUUGCGAAGGCAGCUUGCUACACGGUCAUUGACACUGAGGCACGAAAGCGUGGGGAGCAAACAGGAUUAGAUACCCUGGUAGUCCACGCCCUAAACUAUGGAUACUCGACAUCAGCGAUACACUGUUGGUGUCUGAGCGAAAGCAUUAAGUAUCCCACCUGGGAAGUACGAUCGCAAGAUUG